GAUGAACGCUAGCGAUAGGCCUAAUACAUGCAAGUCGAGCGGAUGAGUGGAGCUUGCUCCAUGAUUCAGCGGCGGACGGGUGAGUAAUGCCUAGGAAUCUGCCUGGUAGUGGGGGACAACGUUUCGAAAGGAACGCUAAUACCGCAUACGUCCUACGGGAGAAAGUGGGGGAGUCUUCGGACCUCACGCUAUCAGAUGAGCCUAGGUCGGAUUAGCUAGUUGGUGAGGUAAAGGCUCACCAAGGCGACGAUCCGUAACUGGUCUGAGAGGAUGAUCAGUCACACUGGAACUGAGACACGGUCCAGACUCCUACGGGAGGCAGCAGUGGGGAAUAUUGGACAAUGGGCGAAAGCCUGAUCCAGCCAUGCCGCGUGUGUGAAGAAGGUCUUCGGAUUGUAAAGCACUUUAAGUUGGGAGGAAGGGCAGUAAGUUAAUACCUUGCUGUUUUGACGUUA
rnacentral:rRNA from 1 species